GCCCCCAUAGCUCAGGGGAUAGAGCACCGCCCUCCGGAGGCGGGAGCGCAGGUUCGAAUCCUGCUGGGGGCGCCG
rnacentral:tRNA from 1 species